CUCCAUACUAUUACAAGUCACCUCCUCCUCCAUCUCCAGUUUACAUAUACAAGUCACCACCUCCUCCAUCACCUACUUAUGUUUACAAGUCACCACCACCACCAGUGAAGUCACCUCCCUAUUACUAUCAAUCUCCACCUCCACCAUCACCAAAACCUCAGCCUCCUUAUUAUUAUCACUCUCCACCUCCUCCAACACCAGUUGUUAAGCCACCAUACUACUACCAAUCUCCACCUCCUCCAUCUCCAAAACCUAAGCCUCCAUACUACUACCAAUCUCCUCCUCCUCCAUCACCAAAACCUAAACCUCCUUACUACUACCAAUCUCCACCUCCUCCAUCACCAAAACCUCAGCCUCCAUACUACUAUCAAUCUCCACCUCCUCCAACACCAGUUGUGAAGCCACCAUACUACUACCAAUCUCCACCUCCUCCAUCACCAAAACCUCAGCCUCCUUACUAUUACCAAUCUCCACCUCCUCCAACACCAGUUGUUAAGCCACCAUACUACUAUAAAUCUCCACCUCCCCCAUCACCCUCUCCUCCACCACCAUACUACUACAAAUCUCCACCACCACCAUCCCCAUCACCGCCACCUCCAUACUACUAUAAAUCUCCACCUCCACCAUCACCGGUUGUUAAGCCACCAUACUACUAUAAAUCCCCACCUCCCCCAUCACCCUCUCCUCCCCCUCCAUACUACUAUAAAUCUCCACCUCCAUACUACUACCACUCUCCACCUCCACCAUCACCAGUUGUUAAGCCACCAUACUACUACAAAUCUCCACCUCCACCAUCACCCUCACCUCCCCCUCCAUACUACUAUAAAUCUCCACCCCCACCUUCACCAUCCCCUCCUCCUCCAUACUAUUAUAAAUCACCACCACCACCAUCCCCAUCACCGCCACCUCCAUACUAUUACAAAUCCCCUCCACCUCCAUCCCCAUCUCCACCGCCUCCUUAUUACUAUCACAGUCCUCCUCCACCAUCUCCCACUCCUCAUCCUCCCUACUACUACAAAUCCCCUCCACCACCAACGUCCUAUCCUCCACCUCCUUACCACUAUGUGAGCCCUCCACCACCUUCUCCAUCUCCACCUCCACCAUACUAUUACAAAUCACCACCUCCUCCCUCCCCAGCCCCCGCUCCAAAGUACAUUUACAAAUCACCUCCAC
rnacentral:lncRNA from 1 species